rnacentral:rRNA from 1 species
AACGUAGGAGCCUAGCGUUAUCCGAAUUCACUGGGCGUAAAGCGCGUGCAGGCGGUUCGGUAAGUUGGAUGUGAAAUCUCCUGGCUCAACUGGGAGAGGACGUUCAAGACUGUCGGACUAGAGGACGGUAGAGGAAGGUAGAAUUCCCGGCGUAGUGGUGAAAUGCGUAGAUAUCGGGAGGAAUACCAGUGGCGAAGGCGGCCUUCUGGGCCGUUCCUGACGCUCAGACGCGAAAGCUAGGGGAGCAAACGGG